AGAAAAGCAGUGCCUUGUUGCCUAUUGUGAACUGGGUUCUCGGUACACUUCAGGGAAAUUGUUUUCAUUGUUAUUGGGUGAACCUCUGUUAUUCUAGUGACUGUUGGUUCAGUAAAUGAUGAAACAUUA
rnacentral:snoRNA from 1 species